rnacentral:rRNA from 1 species
UACGUAGGGUGCAAGCGUUGUCCGGAAUUAUUGGGCGUAAAGAGCUCGUAGGCGGUUUGUUGCGUCGGCUGUGAAAUCCCGAGGCUCAACCUCGGGUCUGCAGUCGAUACGAGCAAACUAGAGUGUUGCAGGGGAGACUGGAAUUCCUGGUGUAGCGGUGAAAUGCGCAGAUAUCAGGAGGAACACCAGAGGCGAAGGCGGCCUACUGGGCUGCACCUGACGCUGAGCCGCGAAAGCCAGGGGAGCGAACGGG